GAUGAAGAACGUAGCGAAAUGCGAUAAGUAGUGUGAAUUGCAGAAUUCAGUGAAUCAUCGAAUCUUUGAACGCACAUUGCGCCCCUUGGUAUUCCAUGGGGCACGCCUGUUCGAGCGUCAUUUGUACCCUCAAGCUCUGCUUGGUGUUGGGUGUUUGUUCCGCCUCUGUGUGUGAACUCGCCUCAAAACAAUUGGCAGCCGGCGUACUUGUUUCGGAGCGCAGCACAUUUUGCGAUCCAGAUCAACGUACAGCGGCAUCCAAGAAGCCUUAUUUAACGCUCUUGACCUCGGAUCAGGUAGGGAUACCCGCUGAACUUAAGCAUAUCAAUAAGCGGAGGA
rnacentral:misc_RNA from 1 species